rnacentral:lncRNA from 1 species
GCUGCAACAAUGGGAACGAGAUUGUAAAGGUAUUAGUGAGAUUAGGGGUCUACCAUCUUGCUUAUGAUAUGAAGCAUGUGAUCUAUUACCAACAUUUGCUUGUUCAUGAUACUCUACGAAGAUGAAAUGCAUUCUAUAUCCAAUCUACCAACGGUUGAUUGAUUACCUCGAUUAAGAAUGUAUCUUUCUACAGUCUUGAACGCACUGUAGCUUACGUUAUCAUAAUUGUUAAGUUGGUGUUAAACCACGAACGAGUCAAUCCAAUAUCAUCACUCAGACUUUACGCCCGACCCAUCGCAUUGAUUACACAUACAGCGAUGUACCGUGUCAUCGGGGUUAAUGUUAAAAAGAGGAACUAUCUAUGUAAUGGACGGUAAAUUUUAAUUUUUCUUAAAUCAACGGAUUGAUAUUAUCGUUUGAGUCGUAUAUUCGCUUUUAACCUUUUUUAUCAGCAAAACCGGUUUUUGUAUAUAACACCAGGCUUUUCCAAGCUUAAAAUCAAGUAAUUGGAUGAAAUUCCUAAGAAAUAAAGACUUUUAAGCUUAGAUUUAACAAAGUUCUUUCUUAGUAAUAUCCAAUUUUCUACUAUACCUA